GUUUCCUGUUCAACAUGUGUUUGGAGAGGCCAAUUCAGCAGCGAAUUCUGCCUCAAGAUUCCUUUGGAGUUCGUUCAUAUAGUGCAGCUGGAUGCGAUGGAUGAUGUCAUCUUAGCGAGCAUUGACAUUCUUCUUAGUUCAGUUUUGUUGUUCUGAUUCUCUUUGGUUUUGUUGUUCUUAUUCUUUUUUGGUUUUUCCCGUCUUUGUUCUCUGCAGAUUCUGCUGUAACUGUACUCUCCAUUACUC
rnacentral:lncRNA from 1 species